AUUUGUCUCCGAAGGGCUGACAUGGACUCCCACGUCCUCCUGGCGAUCCUACUGUUCUGCUCCGCAGGAGCAGCCUCUUCACCUGAGGUCACCUUGAAGUCGGUUCAUGUGGGGGAUGCCGUCACACUGCCCGUGACCCUUCCCAAGGGCCAGAGGCUCACCAACCUCCUCCUGAGGGACUCCUUGAGAAAACAAGCCAUCGCCAUCUGGAUGGAGUCCAAAAUGAUCACGAUUCUAGACAUUGACUACGCCAACCGGGUGGCCUUCCAGGAAGACCAGAUGGCCUUCAGAAUUGCCAACCUCAGCUUGGGCGACGGGACCACCUACGAAAUCUCCACCAGCUUCAGCACUUCCACACCAAAACUGCUCAGCAGCUUUCUGGUGGCUGUAUUCAGACCCUGGGCGCUGGGCUCUCUCCUGGUCAGAGGACUCCUGGUGCCCACCGUGGCUGCUGCUCUGCUGCUGCUGUGACCCAAGAAGACCCUGGGCGGCUGCUUCCCCCGGCCAGCCGGCCCCCAGCCGCUUUAAUGGGGCAGCCAAAAGGGCCUGAUGAAAGCCUAUCGUGGCACCAGCCCUUCCAGGUAGACCAAGUCAAGCAACGCUCCAGAGGAAGACCGGGACUCUUCUUUCCUUGAGAAAGGCUAGAAUCAGAGAAUUUUAUAAUUGCUUCUUUUAUCCCAGGGAAUCCGCAGCUCUUCUAAGCCAUGUUUAAUCAGCUUCAGACCCCUUUGCUUGUUUCAUGGGCCUCAACACCCCUCGAGGCAUCUCCAGCCCACCCACAGCCUCCCUCGGGCUCCCACGUGCUGGCACAGGGUGUCCCUGUAGCGCCAGUUCUUAAGGCUGGAGGAGCAACCUGUCCGAUGAUUGAAAAGCCGCUUUUCUCCCUGUUUUCGGAUGAGUAUUUGUUGUGUCUAAGUGCUUUGCCUGCUAUUACCCAUUAAAAGAUGAGGUG
rnacentral:lncRNA from 1 species